UACCUUCUGAGUGAGGAGCAGAGCAGGCGCUGGCGUCUACAGGUGAGGCGGUAUUCUGUGACCUCACAGCUUUGGAUGGCAAAGCAAUUGCUCAGCAUGAUGUGAAGAAUCAGUCCAAAAAGCUGCCACAAACCCUCUUGAUGAGAGAUUAAAAAAAAAAACACACCUUUUUUUUUUUUAAACAAAAGAAAUCCCAGUAAUAUGAGGGAUAUGGAUGUUAGUAAUUACCACACAUUGAAAGUAUUGUUUAGCGUGAAAAGUAAAACUUUCAAAAAAUUUCCUUGAUUCUAUUUAAUAAAUAAUUUGAAGGAACCACUUAUGCAAAACUUGAUUACUGAAAACGCCACAUGCUGUGGAUAAUUAAAAACAAAAAGGAAUUACUCACAGGAGAUACUCAAAUUAGUUUAUUAUAAUUCUUCAAACAAGUAAAAAAACUCCUCCCCGUUUUUUUUGUUUUGUUUUGUUUUGUUUUUUGUUUUUGCUGCUCUUUAUGUAGGGGAAAAGCAUCCUUUCUGGAGAAGGAGAAGCUGGCUCCAAUGAAGAGAUGGUCUACUGCCUGUUUUCCAAAGGUACACCCACAGCAAGGCUGGGUGCUUUCUCCUCUCUUGGGAUUAUUAGAGGCUAUUCUAAGGCUCUCACAGGUUUUAAAAGAUUCUUUUGCUAAUGAGGAUUUUACCCAUCUUAUCUGUAUUUCUUUGAAAAAAGAUCUUUCCUUAGUGAGGCAGAUUUCACUCCUCAGAGUCCUUGACCAAGAACGAUAUUCUCCAGAGGUAAUCUUGGAAGGAAGAGAGGCGCAGGCCGGGUUUCAGAGCGGCCUAGCGGGGGCUUACACAGUGACCAUAGGGUCAACUCCUCGCCUCUCUCCUGGCCCACCGAUGGUUGCUUCCUAGGGGCUCUCCAGCGACAGUUCACUGUGGAAGUGUCUUCAAAGGAGAAAAGUGAGCAGACUGUCAUCUUUGCUCAUAUAAGGGCAACUCCAAAUAGUGAGUUCAGAACCUUGCUUUGGGGACCCAAGGUGUCUUUGGAAAGCUCCUGUCACCUGAGCUGCCCGGCACCGGGAUAUAUAGCUACACCUCACAGCGUCUUGCGAGGUAGGUUGUCCGGUGCCAUCCUAC
rnacentral:lncRNA from 1 species